rnacentral:rRNA from 1 species
UACGGGGGGGGCAAGCGUUGUUCGGAAUUACUGGGCGUAAAGGGCUCGUAGGCGGCCAACUAAGUCGGAUGUGAAAUCCCCAAGCUUAACUGGGGAACUGCGUCUGAUACUGGAUGGCUUGGAUUUGGGAGAGGGAUGCGGAAUUCCAGGUGUAGCGGUGAAAUGCGUAGAUAUCUGGAGGAACACCGGUGGCGAAGGCGGCAUCCUGGACCAAUAUUGACGCUGAGGAGCGAAAGCCAGGGGAGCAAACGGG